rnacentral:rRNA from 1 species
UACGUAGGGUGCGAGCGUUGUCCGGAAUUACUGGGCGUAAAGAGCUCGUAGGUGGUUUGUCGCGUUGUUCGUGAAAACCGGGGGCUUAACCCUCGGCGUGCGGGCGAUACGGGCAGACUUGAGUACUGCAGGGGAGACUGGAAUUCCUGGUGUAGCGGUGGAAUGCGCAGAUAUCAGGAGGAACACCGGUGGCGAAGGCGGGUCUCUGGGCAGUAACUGACGCUGAGGAGCGAAAGCUAGGGGAGCAAACAGG